GUCUACGGCCAUACUACUCUGAAAAAGCUCAAUCCCAUCUGAUCCCGGAAGCUAAGCAGGGUCGGGCCUGGUUAGUACUUGGAUGGAAAACCACCCAGGAACACCAAGCGCUGUAGGCG
rnacentral:rRNA from 1 species